rnacentral:rRNA from 1 species
UNGUAGGCAGCUGGUCGCGUCUGUCGUGAANUCCUCUGGCUUAACUGGGGGCUUGCGGUGGGUACGGGCCGACUUGAGUGCGGUAGGGAAGACUGGAACUCCUGGUGUAGCGGUGGAAUGCGCAGAUNUCAGGAAGAACACCGGUGGCGAAGGCGGGUCUCUGGGCCGUUACUGACGCUGAGGAGCGAAAGCGUGGGGAGCGAACAGGAUUAGAUACCCUGGUAGUCCACGCCGUAAACGUUGGGCACUAGGUGUGGGGGGCCUUUUCCGGGUCUUCCGCGCCGUAGCUAACGCAUUAAGUGCCCCGCCUGGGGAGUACGGCCGCAAGGCUAAAACUCAAAGGAAUUGACGGGGGCCCGCACAAGCGGCGGAGCAUGCGGAUUAAUUCGAUGCAACGCGAAGAACCUUACCAAGGCUUGACAUGUGCCGGUCGGCUCCGGAGACGGGGCUUCCUCCUUGUGGGGCCGGUUCACAGGUGGUGCAUGGUUGUCGUCAGCUCGUGUCGUGAGAUGUUGGGUUAAGUCCCGCAACGAGCGCAACCCUUGUCCCGUGUUGCCAGCACGUUGUGGUGGGGACUCGCGGGAGACUGCCGGGGUCAACUCGGAGGAAGGUGGGGAUGACGUCAAAUCAUCAUGCCCCUUAUGUCUUGGGCUUCACGCAUGCUACAAUGGCCGGUACAGAGGGCUGUGAUACCGUGAGGUGGAGCGAAUCCCUUAAAGCCGGUCUCAGUUCGGAUCGGUGUCUGCAACUCGACACCGUGAAGUUGGAGUCGCUAGUAAUCGCAGAUCAGCAACGCUGCGGUGAAUACGUUCUCGGGCCUUGUACACACCGCCCGUCACGUCAUGAAAGUCGGCAACACCCGAAGCCCGUGG